CAAGUUCCAACCCUGGAGGCACUGGUCAGGGUGGGGACAGUGCUACAGAGAGAAGACCAGAGAUGAUGCACCACGAGCACCGCAACAAGCCAAGGGCUUCCCAGGCCCGGCCCG